AGCCCAGGGACCAGGAAACCUCUUGCUUGAGUGCUGGAACUCAGGCCAGAAGGCAGGAAGCCCGCCUGACCCCAUGUCUCAGGCUGCCAGAGGAGCGUGCGAUGAGGAAGGCUGGACUGUCUUCACAGGACACCAGGGAGAAGCCUCAAGCCACUGCCCCCUGACAAGUCGCAGCUCUCCAGCCUGUCUCCUCACUCCCCUCCCCUCCACAUGGGGGGGUUGGGGUGGGGGCGGGGAAGGUUCGGGGCAGGGGUCAUUUCAGCUACUGGGCACCAGUCUCCUCCUCAUGUUUAUCCUGUUCCCUUUGCUUGAAAGGUUCGUACUCCAGAUCCUUGUAAAACCGCUUCUCACCCUUUGAGUCUCAGCUUAAAUGUCCCCUCCUUGGAGGGGUCUUCCCUGACAAUGAAGCUCCGACCGUCCUCUCCUGUUUUACCCAGUUCAUUUCUUUCUGGCAUUUGUAACUACUUGAAGUUAAAGUGUGUGCCAUGUA
rnacentral:lncRNA from 1 species